GCCUACGGGGGGCAGCAGUAGGGAAUCUUCCACAAUGGGCGAAAGCCUGAUGGAGCAACGCCGCGUGGGUGAAGAAGGUCUUCGGAUCGUAAAACCCUGUUGUUAGAGAAGAAAGUGCGUGAGAGUAACUGUACACGUUUCGACGGUAUCUAACCAGAAAGCCACGGCUAACUACGUGCCAGCAGCCGCGGUAAUACGUAGGUGGCAAGCGUUAUCCGGAUUUAUUGGGCGUAAAGGGAACGCAGGCGGUCUUUUAAGUCUGAUGUGAAAGCCUUCGGCUUAACCGGAGUAGUGCAUUGGAAACU
rnacentral:rRNA from 1 species